rnacentral:rRNA from 1 species
AACGGCCGCGGUAUCUUGACCGUGUGAAGGUAGCGUAAUCAUUUGUCUUUUAAAUGAAGACCUGUAUGAAUGGCAUAACGAGGGCUUAACUGUCUCACUUCCUUAGUCAAUGAAAUUGAUCUCCCCGUGCAGAAGCGAGGAUACUAACAUAAGACGAAAAGACCCUGUGGAGCUUCAGAUAAGAUACAGACCUUUCAUUAUAAUUUAAGUAAUCCUGUAACCUAUAUCUUCGGUUGGGGCGACCCAGGAGAAAAACAUAUCCUCCACGAGAAAAGCACUGAGCCUUUAGAAAUAAAAACCACAAUUUUAAAUUCCAGAUAUAUCUGUUCUUUAUAGAUCCGGCUACAUGCCGAUCAACGAACCAAGUUACCCCAGGGAUAACAGCGCAAUCCCCUUUUAGAGCUCGUAUCGACAAGGGGGUUUACGACCUCGAUGUUGGAUCAGGACAUCCUAAU